rnacentral:rRNA from 1 species
ACUCCUACGGGAGGCAGCAGUAAGAGAUAUUGCACAAUGGGCGCAAGCCUGAUGCAGCAACGCCGCGUGCGGGAUGAAGGUCUUCGGAUCGUAAACCGCUUUUAUCAGGGAAGAGGCAGGACGGUACCUGAUGAAUCAGUCUCGGCUAACUACGUGCCAGCAGCCGCGGUAAU